AGAUCUUGCUCUCUUUUUCUGAAGCUGCUAAAGGAUGCACGAAGGAUCUACAGUGUGAUGCAUUUGUAACUUGUGAUUCUUGCGGCUAGUGCUGACUGCUAUUUAUGGCUCCAUACUGUUUAUGUACCAUUCCAAGUGGAGAGAAAGCAAGACCUGCAUUCUACAAAUAUGUUGCCUUCAUGUUCAUCUUGAAUGCACUAGAACUGUUUGCUUUACCUAGAGCUUCUUCCUAAAGAUCAAUAUACCGAUAUUGAUGUGGGAACAUAUCCAAAAAUGUAGAAUGUGCUUUACCUAGAGCUUCUUCCUAAAGAUCAGUUAGUCAUUGAUUUUUUUUCAGUAUGUACUAUGUGUUAUCAAGUAGAUUUGGAGUUUGAAUAUCUACAUCUAAAUUAUUUUCAUUUCGAAGCAGAGAUCUUUUCUGUUCAAUUUUCUUGUAACAAAAUAAAUAGUAUCAUUGUGUUUGUUAUUGUAGAA